rnacentral:rRNA from 1 species
AUCUAAAAAGCUAGCCCAAAGCCUUAAUUAAAGACCAAAUAUUACUAGUAAUUAAAAACCCAAGGAUAUUAAAUAAAUCAUUUUUCCUCCAUAGUAUGGGAGACAGAAAGGGACUAAGGAGCUAUAGACAAAGUACCGCAAGGGAAAGCUGAAAGAGAAAUGAAAUAAAUCAGUCAAGAGAAGUAAAGCAGAGUUUAACCCUUGUACCUUUUGCAUCAUGAAUUAGCCAGUUUAAUCAAGCAAAAAGAACUGUAGUUUGAAACCCCGAAACUUAGUGAGCUACUUCAAGACAGCCUGAAUAACAGGGCUAACCCGUCUCUGUGGCAAAAGAGUGGGAUGAUCUUCAAGUAGAGGUGACAGACCUAUCGAACUAAGUUAUAGCUGGUUGCUCGUGAAAUGGAUAGAAGUUCAGCCUUUUGCUUUCCUAAAUUUAAGUCUAGCAUUACUUAAUACAAAUGACUAGGAAUCAAAAGAGUUAAUCAAAGAGGGUACAGCCUAUUUGAUGGAAGAUACAACUUUACUAGGAGGCUAAAAAUCACAAUAUUAAAG